rnacentral:rRNA from 1 species
CCUACGGGAGGCAGCAGUGGGGAAUUGUUCACAAUGGGCGCAAGCCUGAUGACGCAACGCCGCGUGGGGGAUGAAGGUCUUCGGAUCGUAAACCCCUGUCGAAUGGGACGAAUAGCUUCCGGAUUAAUACCCCGGAGGAAUGACGGUACCGUUAAAGGAAGCCACGGCUAACUCUGUGCCAGCAGCCGCGGUAAUACAGAGGUGGCAAGCGUUGUUCGGAAUUACUGGGCGUAAAGGGCGCGUAGGCGGCCAUCUAAGUCAGACGUGAAAUCCCCCGGCUCAACCUGGGAACUGCGUCUGAUACUGGAAGGCUAGAGUUUGGGAGAGGGAUGUAGAAUUCCAGGUGUAGCGGUGAAAUGCGUAGAUAUCUGGAGGAAUACCGGUGGCGAAGGCGGCAUCCUGGACCAAUACUGACGCUGAGGCGCGAAAGCUAGGGGAGCAAACGGGAUUAGAUACCCCGGUAUCCUAGCCCUAAACGAUGAAUACUUGGUGUGGCGGGUUAUCGAUCCCUGCCGUGCCGAAGCUAACGCAUUAAGNUUCCGCNGGGGAAUCGGUCGCAGGCUGAAACUCGAAAGGAUUGACCGG